rnacentral:rRNA from 1 species
AACGGAGGUGGCUAGCGUUACUCGGAUUUACUGGGUGUAAAGGGUGCGUAGGCGGCCCGUUAAGACAGGUGUGAAAUCCCUGGGCUCAACCUAGGAAUUGCGCUUGUGACUGGCGGGCUCGAGUACGGUAGAGGGGGGUGGAAUUCCUGGUGUAGCAGUGAAAUGCGUAGAGAUCAGGAGGAACACCGAUGGCGAAGGCAGCCCCCUGGGCCUGUACUGACGCUCAUGCACGAAAGCGUGGGGAGCAAACAGG